UUCUGGGAUCCCAAAUGUGUGAGGAUUUUGUCCCACUGGCAAGCAAACAAUCAAUUCUGCAGCAGACACCAGUUAAAAUACAAAAAGAAGAAACCCGGUGUUCAAAAACAAUUUCAGAACUCAAAUUUACAUUUCCCCUGGAACAAUGAAGCUGCCAUCAUCCCGAAAAGUAUUUUCCUGGAACAAUGAAGCUGCCAUCAUCCUGAAAAGUGUUUUCACAGGAAAAAAAGGAAGGAAACUUCUCGAGGACAAAUAAAAAAGCGAAGAGAAAAAGGUGCUGUUAGACCUUCAAUACAUUCUGGUUUUCCAGAUGAGAAGUACAUUUUAUGAACAGGAAAAACCGAC